GCACGGACCCGUUACUUAAACAUGUCACGUGCCCAGGAACUUAAAAUCCAUGGGAAUUCUGUUUCUUUCCUUCUCGUUGUUUAGGGAAAGACCUUGCAAAUAUAUGCCCCGAGGGAGCAUCACAUCUUCCCGGGGAUGGGGCUGCAAGGCGCUCCGGGGAAAUGUUGAUCCUGGCGUGAGUAUCCGUGCGAGCUGCUCCGGCUUCCCCGCACGUGAACCUUCCCGGAGGCGCUGGGGCACAACGUCCUGCACGGCAGAACCCGACAGAGCCGAGCUGCCUCCGGCUGGUCCGGGGUGCGGACGGGAUGAGGCCUCAGGAGUGUGCAGACAGGGUCCCAGGAGUGUGCAGACAGGGUCCCAGGAGUGUGCAGACAGGGUCCCAGGACGACGGCCUCCUGCUUCCAUGCACACGCGAGGUUGCUGGGAUCUAGAGCCAGGCAAGGAGCAGCCCCUGGAGAGCACUGGGGUGGGGACAGCCUCCUGCUCCUCCACUUGUCAGUCACAGGGCCUGGGGUCACAGGGCCAAGUGACACUGUGGUGGGGACCGUGUAGAUGCUGCCAGGAGGCCUCCUGUCCUCCUUGUGCUCCGCUCAUCUCGCCGGGAGACCUGCUGGAGGUGGUGCCCGGGUUUGCCCGUUGGUCCCAUCGGGCUCCAAGGCUGCAGGCUGGGCCGUGUGACCACGAGGGAGCCGCCCCCACAGUCAGAGGGACGCAUGAGAAGACCCUGCGGGGCCCUGCCACUCUCCCGGGUCUCGUCGAGGACCGCGCCAGCGCCUUCAUCGUAAAAGGCAGACAACUGUUCGCCCGUGUUUCCGCUUUCCGUUCCUCUGAAUGAGAGGACGUGUUCGUGCUUAUUUUAAUACAGUCACAGCUGUUGCAACCGGUAUGUUUGUAACACCCGAGUGUCAUCCCACCGCGGAAUGUCCCGCCCACACCGAGAAGCCCAGCCUUCCGAGAAGCUUCGGUCCCGGCCCCCCAAGCUGGCGAGAGGUGGCCGGAGGCCGGCGGGCGCCGGGUGAGAAUGCAAGAGGCUGGGGGUUAAAGGGCGGAGGAGAAGAGAGAAGACCCGGCGCAGUGUCCGCGGUCUUUGUCCUUCUAGAACUGGCCCUUGUCGGAGCUGUGGCCCCAGUGACCUGAGUGUCACCACCUGUGAACUUGGGCCAUCUCUGUCACCUGUGGGAAGGCUGGAGGAACCGAGCCCCUUUCAGUUCUAGCCCUUUGAGCGCUUCUUCCCCGCAGGGAUGCUGGCCCCCAGCCCUCUAGAGACUGCAGGUGCUCCUGGGGCGGGGACCUGGGACCCUCCAGCCCCUUCCUCUGACAUGAAAUGUCCGUGUGUAACACAUGCAGACCCUCAGGACCCAUGGGGCCGUUGGUCACAUAGCGGGGAGCUCCCGGGGAGUCUGCAGCUGGGCCUGUGGGCAGGCGGUUACAAAGGUCCCCGGAGCCCGUAGGUGUCCUAUGCUGGGGAGGGAACUUGCCAAGAACAUGGCUGAACACCUCUCGUGGUGCUUGGUCACCUGCCCAAGACAAAGGUCUCGGGCUCAGGGAGGUGGGGGCUGCGAGGUUCCUUUGGCGGUGGCUGUAGGUGUCCUGGUGUUGGAGCCCCACGACGGAGCUGGGUCUGGUCGUAAGUACAGGGUGGGGGUCUCAGCUCCUCUGGGGAUCUCCCCUGGGGAGGUGCCCUGCCCAGCCUGAAAACCCAAGGGUGAGGCUCAGCGGCUCCUGGGCCCCAGGUGGACGGACAGCAGGAGCUGCGGAGCUGGGGUAGGGGAUUCCAGCAUUUCCUGACCACUGUGGGCUGGGGACAGAGCCUUCGGGGAGCUCUGGACCCUGCCGUCAGGGUCGCGGCCGGCUCCCAUGGGCUGUGUGUGGGGUGGGCCACCAGAAACUGGGGUGAGCAGGGAGACAGCGGUCUGAACAGAAUCAGCUACCACGGCGUAGGAGGCGCCCCAAGACCAGGCCAGGGAAGUCACUAAGCCCCCUCAGAGGCCCCAGGCAGGGGUCAGCCCUGUGCAAGGGCAGGAGACCUCAGACCGCACCCGAGGUCAAGAAGAAAUGCGGUUUUUCUGGUGAGGGGAGGAGGGCAGCCAAGGGGUUGGCUGGUCCCCCAGCCUGUGUUCCUGCCCCUCGAGACCCAGUCGGGAGGCCGUGGGGAGAAGGCCCGUCCCUGGAUGGAGACGGAGGCAAGACGCAGUGGCCUUUCCAGCCCCGGGGAGCAGAGCGGCACAGUCCCGAGCAGACGGGCACAGUCGGCCCAGCUGGGCUCCCCGCUGCCCGGGACUUUGCUGCUGGUGAUCCCAGGCCGUUGAGCUACGAGCGUGCGAGGGGAAGGAAGCUCCUGGGGCCUCGCGUGACAAGCUCCACCGCGCGGGGGCCUUUUGGCUACCCCAGGUCACGCCGGAGCGGACCUUCCCUCAGCUCCCUGGAGCCCCCUUGGCCUCCUCUCCUCUGUCCUGCCUCUGCUCACUCUCCCCUUCGGCUCCACCCCCCGGGGCCUGCAGGGCCGGCUCAGCCUCCCGUCCUCCCACAGGCCCCUCCAAGCACCUGCUGCGGGGCCGCCAGGAAGCGCAUCUCUCACUUCCUCUUCCGUGCACACACGGUUUAAACCCAGCUUCGAACCAUAUCCUUGGGGCUUCACCGACCCUUACACUGUAAGACACUAGACACUCUCGCAUUCUUGAAGCAGGAGCCAAUGCCUUCCCACAGGGGAUGGACACACGCGGAUGCCCCCGUGCUCCCAAUGCCCGGGGGGCCCGGUGGCAGAAGAGGAGUCAGAUUCGUCCUCGUCCUGUUGGAAUUCACCCUUGAACGGGGGAGAUAUGCCAGCUCUGGGCCCCGGAAGCCGUGGUUGUGUUAGAAGUGAAAUACGGAUCCGACUGAUUAUCUGCAAACUCUCGCUUCCACAGAGCAGCCCAGCAUUUCAUUUAUUUUCUUCGCUGGUCCAGGAAUCUGCAGCUAAGGGUCAUGUUUUUUCCUGUUUGCCAUCACAUUUGCAGUGAACUAGACAUCAGAAUACCAGCCGACACGGUCGGUCAUUAGACCCAACAGAUACGGAGUUACUCUGCGCUCCGCCGGGCCUGCUGUCACGUCCUGUCCUUGGGCUCACGCCGCGCGUCAGGUCCUGGACAGAGGUUCGCCUCUCCGAGGGAGUCUGUGGGUGCUUGCACAUGUGUUAACGUGCCGAAUCUUCCACACGCACCUUUCAUAACGAGGAGACUCGGCCCACAUCCCGACAAGUGGGACGUGAGAGCCGGCAGAGGGGAGCUGCUUGCACAACACCGAGGCUUCCGUUCAGGCUUCGCUUUGUUUCUACCGUUAAUCCUGGCUAUGAUUUCUUCUUGGCUGUUUUCGAUCAAAACGACUGGUUUUACGUAGCACUUGUUGUGCUCUCUGGCUUCCCAGAGGAGGCGGCCAUGUGCGUGACAAGUGUGGGCUCAACGGGGUUGGUCCCCGAGCUGGGUCACAGCGCUCCACGGAGGACGUCAUCUCCCUGGUCCCUGACUGCUUUGGGAAACACCUAGUUAACUCCACGAAGGCCACAUGAUGCCCAGAGGCAGGCUCUGUGUUUUCUUCCCGCAGACGUCUUGCCUGCGUACGACACUAUGGUGUCCUCUGGAAAAGUGAACCACAUCCAGGCAGAAGCUUCUGAGCGACAUGCGUGGGUCCCGCACCAGCUGCAAGUGGCCGGGGACCCAGUGUUUGGAGGGGAGGCAGCUGGCGGUCCCGGGACACGCUGGAUAUCUCCUCUCUGGGGGCAUCACACUGGGAGGGUAGGAACCGGUCACACGGGGCUUUGUGUGUCCCAGAGGGAAGGAGCCCCUCAUCCUCGGGGACACAGACUCCUUGGCUGGAGAGGCUCCGCAGGGUGCGGCCGCCCCAAAUCAAAGUCUCUGCACCCAGGCUUUGUUCCAGUCCCCAUGCCCGAGCCCAUGUCAUGGUGCUGCAGCCAGCGCUCUGACACGGGAGGUUGGCGGGGCUCCGUGCGGGCUUCUCACGCACGGUGAGGCCUGGAGGUCAAAUAGCCUUUUGCCUUUUGCCUGGGCUUCUCCCCGCCCGCGCCCGUGUGUCCCGUGGGGUAUCUGAGCUCCUGCCGCGGGUGCGUGGGGGCAUCUCGGUGGGGCUUUGCGGUCCUUCACUCCAAUGACGGCUGCGGCGCGGCACCCGCCGGGGCGCGCUCUGGGAUCCCGUCUCUGCCAGUUUUUACGAUGGGUCGUUUCCUAAUUAUUAUUCCCAUCCUAGCCUGGAAGACUCCCUUGAACUCACUGAAAAGAGGUUAAAUAUUUGGUGAUAAAAAUAGAACGGAUUUCGAGAACACUA